rnacentral:rRNA from 1 species
UACAGAGGGGGCAAGCGUUGUUCGGAAUUACUGGGCGUAAAGGGCGCGUAGGCGGCCUUCUAAGUCGAACGUGAAAUCCCCGGGCUCAACCCGGGAACUGCGUCCGAUACUGGAAGGCUUGAAUCCGGGAGAGGGAUGUGGAAUUCCAGGUGUAGCGGUGAAAUGCGUAGAUAUCUGGAGGAACACCGGUGGCGAAGGCGACAUCCUGGACCGGUAUUGACACUGAUGAGCGAAAGCUAGGGGAGCAAACGGG